UUAGCUUCUCUUCAAAAGAUCCUUUAACAGUUACUGAGUAGUUAUAACUCGGCUUCGAUCCAAACUCUAGAGAUGGAACAUUUGAAGCAAAGCUUCGAGGAGUUUACAGAGUAAAAAGGUUCAAUGCUUGUGUUGUCUUGCGGUAAACCACGUGACCGAUGACAAACGAUGCCUCUUCUUCUUCUUCUUAUAAUGGCGGUUGGCAAACAACUGAAGGAGGCAUUACCGCCACCAACUGGAAAAUCCACAACAAUUUUGGCGUCACGAACAGGAUCUAACAUGCCAGAGGAAUCCGCAGGAGGGGAUAAGGACGCCUGGCCAGCCUGGAGACUAAGUUGUCCUCAGUCCACCUCUAUUUAACGGAGGGGAGUCCUGGUGCCUGCCUGCGGCUUCUGGCCGAUCGGAUCCGGACCAUAGAUCUGCAAAUAUAUCUGGUUACAGACUGACCAUCAGACGGCUCUUCAAAGGGAGAAUGCUGCAAAGAUAUGAGCUCUCAAAAGCUGAGGAGAGGAUGGAGAAAACUGAAGCAAAGUUAGUGGACCUGAAGGCAGAUGAGCUCAAGAAAGCGUCAUCCCAAAGGUGGGAACAGGCCCCCACCUUUCAGGAAAGAAGCUGAUCCAGAGGCCCAGACCAAUGAUCCACCCAGUGCCACCAUGAAGAAGGCAAAGAAAUCACUGGGCAGUUUCUUCAAGACAGCACCACUUCCUGCCUCAUCUUUUGUGCAACUUUCACAAGCUGUAGAAGCUGAGCUUAACAGUUACUUGCUGUCCCCUGCCAUAGACAGUGAGGGAGACCCCUUGGCAUGGCGGAAACUCCACCACAUUUCACCAGAUAUUUUAUUUUAAAUAUUACAGACUAGUAGAACAAUUUCAGACAGAUUUUGUGUCAGUAGGUCACAUGACCUGGAAGCUUUUGAAGAAAACUGCUAAUUUUUGACCAAAUAAAUUCCUAAAAAUGCUGAAAAUGGAAUAAAAAUGAGUGUGCCUCAUUGAUGUAAUGUAGUAUCAUGAUUUACUAUUGUUUUUGUUUCAAUUGGUCACAAAACAAGGAAUUUAUUUAUUUUUAUUUUCCACGAUUGUUUGGUUCGGAAACUUAUUGACGGUUCCUAAGUGAACCACCGCGGGUCAGAAGAGGGAGCAACAGAGAGCAGCUAGCCGAAAUCUGAGUGCCUGAAUCGGAUCAACCGUCAGCUAGAUGCCGCUAACUCCGCGGAGCUUGAAUAUCCAAUGUCCAACUUUAAACUAACUUCACCGCGGUAUAUCAUGCAGCCCUAUUAAUUAGUUUCUAAACAAACUUGUAUCGGUGUCGAAGGACAACAAACCACUCAAAAUGGCGGACGUGGGUCGUUCCCACCGAGUGACGAAGCGUUUACCGUUUUAAGUCUAUGGUGAACAUUUGGUCUUUAAGAAGCUAAUCCAUUAGUCACCUAAAAUGUUCCUAAACUGUAACUGACAUGAAAACAUACAAACCUAAUCUGUGCAGCAGAACUUUAGGGUUGAAAUCAGCCUCCAGGAUGUUGAGACGCUGCUGAUCUUCUUUGUCC